UACGUAGGUGGCAAGCGUUAUCCGGAAUUAUUGGGCGUAAAGAGCGCGCAGGUGGUUGAUUAAGUCUGAUGUGAAAGCCCACGGCUUAACCGUGGAGAGUCAUUGGAAACUGGUCGACUUGAGUGCAGAAGAGGGAAGUGGAAUUCCAUGUGUAGCGGUGAAAUGCGUAGAGAUAUGGAGGAACACCAGUGGCGAAGGCGGCUUCCUGGUCUGUAACUGACACUGAGGCGCGAAAGCGUGGGGAGCAAACAGGAUUAGA
rnacentral:rRNA from 1 species